rnacentral:rRNA from 1 species
GCACAAGCGGUGGAGCAUGUGGUUUAAUUCGACGCAACGCGCAGAACCUUACCAGGGUUUGACAUCCUGAGACCGCCUCUUAAUAGGGGUUUUCCCGCAAGGGACUCAGAGACAGGUGCUGCAUGGCUGUCGUCAGCUCGUGUCGUGAGAUGUUGGGUUAAGUCCCGCAACGAGCGCAACCCUCGCCUUUAGUUGCCAUCAUUCAGUUGGGCACUCUAGAGGGACCGCCGGCGACAAGCCGGAGGAAGGUGGGGAUGACGUCAAGUCCUCAUGGCCCUUACACCCUGGGCUACACACGUGCUACAAUGGCGGUGACAGUGGGCAGCUACUUCGCGAGGAGCGGCUAAUCCCAAAAAACCGUCCCAGUUCAGAUUGUACUCUGCAACUCGAGUACAUGAAGGUGGAAUCGCUAGUAAUCGCAGAACAGCAGGCUGCGGUGAAUACGUUCCCGGGC